rnacentral:rRNA from 1 species
GACGAACGCUGGCGGCGUGCUUAACACAUGCAAGUCGAACGGAAAGGCCCUGCUUUUGUGGGGUGCUCGAGUGGCGAACGGGUGAGUAACACGUGAGUAACCUGCCCUUGACUUUGGGAUAACUUCAGGAAACUGGGGCUAAUACCGGGUAGGAGCUCCUGCUGCAUGGUGGGGGUUGGAAAGUUUCGGCGGUUGGGGAUGGACUCGCGGCUUAUCAGCUUGUUGGUGGGGUAGUGGCUUACCAAGGCUUUGACGGGUAGCCGGCCUGAGAGGGUGACCGGCCACAUUGGGACUGAGAGACGGCCCAGACUCCUACGGGAGGCAGCAGUGGGGAAUAUUGCACAAUGGGCGGAAGCCUGAUGCAGCAACGCCGCGUGCGGGAUGACGGCCUUCGGGUUGUAAACCGCUUUCGCCUGUGACGAAGCGUGAGUGACGGUAAUGGGUAAAGAAGCACCGGCUAACUACGUG